CAAAUUGAGAACAUGGAAAACAGAUUGCAUUCAAUUUUUAAUUUAAGAAUGGAGAAUGAAACAUGUCUCUCAUUUUUUCAGGUUUCUCAACUCAGGGGAAGGACUUGUAGAUCAUUAACUGCACUGGAUACCUAACACAAGAGCUGGGUACAAUUUGGAUUGGAAUCACUUGGAAAAACAUUAUCAGAGGAAAACUCUGUGGGAGAAGAAGGCGAUUUACUGUCUCUCAGCCCAGCAUUCCCAAAAUACUGAUGCUUUUUGAUCCAGCAUGAGCUAAGACAACUUUAAUGAGGCCAGAGGCUUUUCACCCAAAAGCAGACCACAGGAAUUCUGAGAGUGAAGCUGAAUGAAGCCAUGGAACUGAGUCAGUACACCUUUCACGAGGUCUGAUGCGUAUCUAUGGCUUCCUGUGUUGCCACACGUGCAGUGUCUUUGAAGGUGACAGGAGGGGACGAAGGCCAAGCAUAACAAAGAACGAAUGGUCAAAGUGGAAAAAGUCUUCCAUAACUUUGGCUUCCAAAGUGCUCAGAAAAAGCUCCGUGUAUCUUAGCUCUCGCCCAGCUUUCCAGUUUGUUUCCAGAGCUCAGAGGAUAGAAUUGAUGUGGAGUAGCUCUAAACCCAAGAAGGGCUUGUAGUAAUGACACACAAAUAAAAACGUCCAGUUCAAGUUUAGAAGCUGCUCGAGAGCUCGGUGUUGAAGCCAGGAAGCUUUUCCAUCAGUAGGCCAUGCUAUUGCUGGUGGAUGGAAAAUUAUUUAGCUGAAAUCUUUCAUCUGAUGUUUUGCAAAUAUUGUCAUGCAAGGAGAUAAAAAAGUGUUUGUGGGGUUUUUUGUAUGCUCAAGGCACAUAAAUUAGAAAUUCUGCUAACUCAGGAUAAUUAGUAAGAAUAAAUAAGGAAGUAUGUAACCAGAGGAAAAGUAUUUAUGUGA